GUACGAGGUUUGUUACAGUUUAUCUGAAACUUUUGGAAUCACUAAUGUUUUUUCUGGCAAUAAAUGUCCAACUGCGAGCAUAUAAUUUCGUUAGAUUUGUCAUGUUCACAGCCAAUUAACUGAUGGUGCAAGAGCCCGGACAAAUUUCUCUAGGGCACUAAAGAUGAAAGCUAAGUUUGUUAAGUACUCCAGCAAGUGCAGUUUGGCUUUGGCAGUACCAGCAAUCUUGGAUCCCCAAUUCAAAUUGAAGUUGGUGGAGUAUUACUACUCUCAAAUAUACGGUAGUACUGCUCUGGAUAGAAUUAAGGAAGUUUCCGAUGGCCUCAAGGAACUUUUCGAUGCUUAUUCAAUUUGCUCAACAAUGGUAGAUCAAGGUCCAGCUUUGCCUGGUAGCAGCUUACCCAGUACUAGCACUGAUAGUAGGGAUCGAUUGAAGGGAUUUGAUAAAUUUCUCUACGAGACCUCUCAGAUCCAAAACAUGAUAUCAGACUUGGACAAGUAUCUAGAGUUACCAGUCUUUCCGCGCAGUUGUGAUUUUAAGAAAUUAAAUUGGUGGAAGGUCUACACGCCAAGAUACCCUAUUUUGUCCAUGAUGGCACGUGACGUUCUGGGAACUCCUAUGUCAAUGUUGCGCCAGAAUCGGCAUUCAACGUUGGUGGUAGAGUGCUUGAUGAAUGUCGAAGCUCACUGAAUCCUGACGUUUGAGAGGCUUUGGUAUGCACACAAGAUUGGUUGCGGGUGGAAUUAAAAGGCAUGUGAAUUACAUUUUGAGUUUAAUGUUUGUCUUUCAUUAUGACAUAUACUUAGCAGUGAUCUUAUUGCAAUAAUUACUUAUUUCUCUUUUCUAUCAGAUGCAACUCAUUGUUAAGUCAUUCUGCUGGAUCAACUCGUGGCCUAUCCGGUGCUGUUAAACUGAUGCUGACACACCUAAAGCUGGUCUGGGCUGUGAACCUUAUCUAUAUCUCCAUGUCAAUACAUCACAUGAGACUUGUUAAGGCCUUUAGUUCCUUGUCAAGCUUAAUUGUAAAGUUUAGGAUGUCAACUAGAUUCCCACAUCUGUACCUUUCGUCAUGGAAAGGUGUAUCUUUGAUUUUCGCGCAGGCAACUCUUUCUUUAUAAGAUUUCGUUAAAGUAGCAAAAUGUGGAUUGCUCAAUCACUAAUCUAUAUAUUUAUAGUUAUGCACAAAACCUUCAUCUCGAAUUCUCAAAUCAAUAUAUUUUAGAUUAUUCUUUCAAUAUGAACUCCUCAAUGUUUAUCUAUUGAUGGCUAAUAACUUCAACUGUCUUGCUGUUAUAAACCAUGUAUGCUGAACUUAGCUUUUUUUUUUUUUUUUACAAAGCGAUAUUCUAUAUUAUAACUCAGGGGAGAAGUAUUGAGGUUUGAUCAUCAGCCGGCGGCUAUUGGAAGAGUAUCAGCGCUGUUGUUAUUCCCGCGGACUUUAGAUCUGCAGCUGGUACUACUGGUAAGAUAUAAAUAAGCUUUCUUCAAUGGUGCUCCGUGUUGGCUUCAAUCCAGUGACAACGAGGGUAACUGCACUGUGUGAUUUGAUAUGGUGAGGAAUCAUUUGAAAAGAUAAUGGUGCCAACAAGAACAGAUGUUCCAGAGUAUCAAAAACUUACAAGCCAGGUUCAUGAAAUUGUUGGGAGAAUUAAUGGCAGAUUUGGAACUUUGACAGCUGUCGCAAUGCGUCACCUGGAUCGUUCACUCCACCUUCAUGCAUUGUGUGCACUAUAUGCUGUAACUGGUACUAUUCUACAUACUCUGGUUCUGAUUCCCUGUUUCUUUUGACCCAAAUAAGUUUUCGACAUAACCUUUCACCUGGGGAGGGUGAAG